rnacentral:rRNA from 1 species
AGCGACGCCGCGUGAAGGAUGAAGUAUUUCGGUAUGUAAACUUCUAUCAGCAGGGAAGAAAAUGACGGUACCUGACUAAGAAGCCCCGGCUAACUACGUGCC